GCUACGGGAGGCAGCAGUGGGGAAUAUUGGGCAAUGGAGGAAACUCUGACCCAGCAAUGCCGCGUGAAUGAAGAAGGUCUUCGGAUUGUAAAGUUCUUUAGUCAGGGAAGAAUAAAAUGACGGUACCUGAUUAAGAAGCCCCGGCUAACUACGUGCCAGCAGCCGCGGUAAUACGUAGGGGGCAAGCGUUAUCCGGAUUUACUGGGUGUAAAGGGAGCGUAGACGGCAGCACAAGUCUGGAGUGAAAUGCCGGGGCUUAACCCCGGAACUGCUUUGGAAACUGUGCAGCUAGAGUGCAGGGGAGGUAAGUGGAAUUCCUAGUGUAGCGGUGAAAUGCGUAGAUAUUAGGAGGAACACCAGUGGCGAAGGCGGCUUACUGGACUGUAACUGACGUUGAGGCUCGAAAGCGUGGGGAGCAAACAGGAUUAGAUACCCUUGUAGUC
rnacentral:rRNA from 1 species